rnacentral:rRNA from 1 species
AGUGAGGUGUGAAUUGAGUCAAAUGCUUAAUUCUAUAACAUUGAGCUGUGAUGGGGAGCGAAGUUUAGUAGCGAAGUUAGUGACGUCACACUGCCAAGAAAAGCUUCUAGCGUUUAAACAUACUCUACCCGUACCGCAAACCGACACAGGUAGUCGAGGCGAGUAGCCUCAGGUGAGCGAGAGAACUCUCGUUAAGGAACUCGGCAAAAUGACCCCGUAACUUCGGGAGAAGGGGUGCUGACUUAAAGUCAGCCGCAGUGAAUAGGCCCAAGCAACUGUUUAUCAAAAACACAGCUCUCUGCUAAAUCGUAAGAUGA